rnacentral:rRNA from 1 species
GUUAAAAGCUCGUAGUUGGAUUUGUGGUUGGAAAGGUCCGCCGUUGCUAUGCUUCGUGUUGGAUUUUUCCGUCCAUCCUUGGGUGGAUCCUGUGUGGCAUUCAGUUGUCGUGCAGGGGAUGCCCAUCGUUUACUGUGAAAAAAUUAGAGUGUUCAAAGCAGGCUUACGCCUUGAAUAUAUUAGCAUGGAAUAAUAAGAUAGGACCUGGGUACUAUUUUGUUGGUUUGCGCACCGAGGUAAUGAUUAAUAGGGACAGUUGGGGGUAUUCGUAUUCCAUUGUCAGAGGUGAAAUUCUUGGAUUUUUGGAAGACGAACUACUGCGAAAGCAUUUACCAAGGAUGUUUUCAUUAAUCAAGAACGAAAGUUAGGGGAUCGAAGAUGAUUAGAUACCAUCGUAGUCUUAACCAUAAACUAUGCCGACAAGGGAUUGGCGGUUGUUCGUUUUGACUCCGUCAGCACCUUAUGAGAAAUCACAAGUCUUUGGGUUCCGGGGGGAGUAUGGNCGCAAGGCUGANNCUUANAGAAAUUGACGGAAGGGCNCCACCAGGAGUGGAGCCUGCGGCUUAAUUUGACUCNACACGGGAAAACUUACCAGGUCCAGACAUANUGAGGAUUGACAGAUUGAGAGCUCUUUCUUGAUUCUAUGG